AAUAUAAAAUUGAGAAUGGAAAUGGGGAAUGUGCCAAAGAGACAACAAACCGACCAUAGAAAAAAACAACAGCAGAAGGUCACCAACAGGUCUUCAAUGUAGCGAGAAAUUCCCGCACCCGGAGGCGUCCUUCAACUGGCCCCUAAACAAAUAUAUACUAGUGCAGUAAUAAUGAACGCCAUACUAAUUUCCAAAUUGUACACAAGAAACUAAAAUUAAAAUAAUACAAGACUAACAAAGGCC
rnacentral:lncRNA from 1 species